ensembl:snoRNA
UUAUAAUAAUGUUGAUCAAAUGUCUGACCUGAAAAGAGCAUGUAGACAAACUUAAUACUGAAGAA